rnacentral:lncRNA from 1 species
GAAGGACCUCAAGGCCCCAGGCCCAACAUUAGGAAAUCUAACCCCUGUGCCCUGAAGCUGCAGGAUGCUCCCUUACACAACCCCCAUGUCAAGACCCCUCCAGCAGCACGUAGCAUUUCAAGUCCUGCACAAUGCUACCACAAGAUGCUCCAUAUAGAUAACCCUAACGGUCAAACUUGAGGAUGCAGGUUUAAAAACAGGAAUUAAAAGGAUAGGAUGCAGGUUUAAAAAUAAGAACCAGAAAGACAGGAUGCAGGUUUAAAAACAGGAACCAGAAAGACAGGAUGCAGGUUUAAAAACAGGAACUAAAAAGACAGGAUGCAAUUCUAUGGUUUUCCCGAGAACAAUAAGUUGGAAAAAAAAAAAAAACAAGUUUACCCCCUAGGUGACCUGACUGACUGGAUGCAGAAGGUCCAACAGGAAGACUGUCGCUGUGCUAGGAACUAACCCACUUAUUCCCUAUAAAAGAUCUGUGCCCCAAAGCCCGGUGUGCCAGUUCACCGAAGCUCCGGCUGAGGUCUCGCUGAGCACCCGCAGGCUCCUGUGUAGCAAUAAAUCGCCUCUUGCUUUUGCAGCCAGUGCCUCGUGCGUCUUUCUUGGACAGGGAAUCGGCAGGUCUUUCAAUGGUC